rnacentral:misc_RNA from 1 species
GAUGAAGAACGCAGCGAAAUGCGAUAAGUAAUGUGAAUUGCAGAAUUCAGUGAAUCAUCGAAUCUUUGAACGCACAUUGCGCCCCCCAGUAUUCUGGCGGGCAUGCCUGUUCGAGCGUCAUUUCAACCCUCAGGCCCCCAGUGCCUGGUGUUGGGGAUCGGCCCAGCCUUCCUGUAAGGCCGCCGGCCCCGAAAUCUAGUGGCGGUCUCGCUGUAGUCCUCCUCUGCGUAGUAGCACAACCUCGCAGUUGGAACGCGGCGGUGGCCAUGCCGUUAAACACCCCACUUCUGAAAGUUGACCUCGGAUCAGGUAGGAAUACCCGCUGAACUUAAGCAUAUCAAUAAGCGGAGGA